AUGGCACCACAAACCGUUGGCAUGCAGGGCUUGCCUGGCUGAGCUGGAGGGGUAAGAGCUGCCAGCCUGUGCAUGGGGAAACCAAAACAGAGGGGGUUGCCUUGGCAAUGCUGGCUUGUCCACAUCCUGUGAGCUGCAGAGCAACCGCGGCGAUGGCAUGGAGGUAGAGUUUGCAGAAAAGCUGCAGUUUACUGGAACUGCUGUGCUGUGUCACCGUGGCAGAGGGGAGAGAGCUGGAGGUCAUUCUGCCAGUUAAGCUCUUUAGGCCCAUCCCUCAACAGGCUCUUAUGUCUUCAUGAAGUUUCCUCCAACCUAACAAAGCUCAACCCGCUCCUCUCAGCUGAGAUGCCGCCUGACUCAUGCCAGGAGUGUGGCUGCUCCCUGCAUCCACAGUGAGAGCAGGAGCAGCUCUGGGGACAACUGACUUGUGGGGUGUGCCCUGACUAUUUCUGGAUUAUUUCAACACUCCUGCGCUCUGUGGUCAUCUGCAACUCAUGACCUGUGGAGGUGACAUGAAAUCAACUGACCUACAGCCACCCCCAUUUCCUUCACACAGAUGAGACCACACUUUGUGCAGUUGAUGCUAAGGAGUGCAAAGCAGGAAUCACAUUAUUAAACAACCAUUUCCGUCUGUUACUGGCGUUAUGUCAGCUUUAUAUCAGCUUUCCAUUGCAGUGACAGCGGUGGUUCAGGCAGGGAGAGGCUAAUUUUUUUUACAGCCUCUGAGCUCCCUGAUCCACCCAGCAGGGACACAGCUAUGCUGUCACACAGUGGCACCUAUUUUCCCUGCUUGCACCUGCAGACUUAAAGGAAAACUGGAUGAAACCCGACACCGAGGGUGAGCAGUUUCCUUAGCAGGGAUUGCACGUUGCUGUUUCGGAAAUGGUGACUAAGAAGGGUUUUGCCGCCGGUCUCCCAGAACUCGCAGCCGGCUACAGAGACCUUCCUCAAACGUAGAAGACAAACACCAAAAGCCACCACCCAGCAAACACGACCAGCUGAAGCUUCAUCUCGUUCCCACCACCACCAAACUUUCCUGCCAGAAGCCACGCGUAAAGGCUUUCAUUCCCUAAAGGGAGUGAUUUGGAAAACUACUGAUAUGGAUGUUGGAUAACAGGGUUAAAGUGAAACUAUUUUGCAAGCUGCUGCCUGGAGCCCACUCGUCAUCGCCGUCUGCACACGCGCGGCUGCCGUCGGCCCCCGGAUCACCGCGACUGUGGCCAAAAGAUCAGUUUUGAGUUUAGGUUUCCAAAGCCAACCCGGUAAUCUGCCCAUUUCCGGAAGAAAUCGGUCAGCCCGUUCUGCCGCCGCUGGAAGACCUGAUGUGGAGGGAGAGCAGGGGGAAAACCAUAAUGAUGGAGAUGAGAAACAGCUUUGACAGGCUUUGGACACACAAGUACUCAUUCCAGGGGGAUUCUCCUGAUUCUCCAUGCCCUUGGAAAUGAUGGUGGACUUAUGCUGAGCUAAUUGUCACUUGCAAGCUGAGCAGGAAUGAGGCCGUGUGAGAUGCUUAGAGACAAGUCCUUGUUCUCUGCAAAGUGCCUUGAUGCAUUGCCAGAGUAAACUGAUUUGCAGAUCUGGAUGCUUUGAUGAGAAAUGCUGUCCAUGGAUUGCAUUGCCUUGGUGAUAGCUCCUGGUUGCUUCUGUCUCAUCAAUAUUGGGGUAAGUGGGGAGAAACUGACUUGUUGCUAAUGCCUAUCUUCAUCUUCAGAGCAAGUUAAAUGUGUUGGAUGCUGCACCAGCUGACAAUGGGGACUAAUGUUGCUGAGGUCUGACACUUGUGUUUGAUGGAAAAGGUGCUCUCCUUGCCUGACAUAAGUGGGCUUCUGCUGCUUUAUCCCACCUGAGAAGUCACCCCCAUGCAGCUUCAUCUCUGACUCCCAAGUGGCCUCAAAUAUUACAUGUCUUUUUCUAUCACCUGCCUAAAUUGUACUGGAUUCAUGCACAUGUGUAAGAGGCAAGAACUGUUAUCUCUUAAAAGCAGGUGAAGAGACCUUUGCAUGUAACCGAGAUGUGGAAGUGUAUCCACAGCAGAUUCAAAGAAAAUUCUCCUAAUUUGAGAAUUAAACUGGCAGCACAGAUGGAAGGAAUUUUGGUGGACAUCAUCUGUAGACUUCUCAGUGCUGUUGAUGCCCAGGAUAAACAUUAUUGGAUUCCUAGCUCUGAAUAAGAUGCAUUCUUUUUGUAAGUACCCUGACCUAGCUAUAUUUUUCAAAGAGCAUGAGGGACAAUUUGCUUUGCAUAACUUCCAUUAUGAAUGGUUGCAGAGGAUGGGGGCACUGGUGACAUUCUCUUGCAAGCUUCAUUCUUGGAAGAGUAAGUAUCCUGUCUGUGAGGGUUGUGGUGACUGUGCAUGCCCACUUUUUGAUUUCAAAACAAAACCACUUCCAUUACUUUAGCGGAUUGUGAAUGCUCUAGAAUGAGAGUGGGGAGGAAUAAUGCAAUUAGAUAAAGUGCGGGCUCUGCUCUCUGUAACUCCACUGGUGGUGGUGGAGAUGUACCUGCUUGAUAUUUCCAGGGAUACCCCAACCCUGAAAACUUUCAAGGUCAAAUUCAACAGGGCUCUGAGCAGCCUGAUCAAGUUAAAGAUGACCCUGCUCACUGCAGGGGGAUUGAACUAGAUGACCUUUAAAGAUUCUUUCCAACCCAAAGUAUUCUGAUUCUUUGCUAUUUGUGGGCAAUCAGAUCAUGCCCACAGCAUGGAGACACUGGCUGGGUCCUCUCCCAGGACCAUACCUGUUGAUAUGUACUGCUGAUUUUAGUGGAUUUUUUUUUUUUCCUCUGUUUCUGCACUUGAGGACAGACAUGGGCAAGGCAAAGGGCCUGGUAGAUGGCUCCUGGUCUGAAGCUCAAACCCCCUUGCCCUGGUCUGGGUCUUGUGUUUGAAUCAUAGCUCCUUCAGCCAUUAACUUUUUGUAGCAAAGCAGCCCCGUGGGUCAUGGCAUUAUAAGUAGCCCUCUUUGGAUCAUGAAGGAAUGCUGCCUGAGGAGGGAAGGUCCCUAAGAGCAGUCCAUUCCUACCAGCCUGACAUGUGGGCCAGCCUCCUCGUGUCUGGGUGGAUGCAGAGUGAGGCCUCACCUGUGGUGAAGGUGGUCGAGACGAGGCCGCUGCGCAUGGCGUUCUGGGCAGCCUGCAGGUGCACCGUGUACUCCGUGGUCUCAGAAAGCCCCUCCAGACGGAUCCACGUGUCCUCAGCAUCCACAAUCAGCUCCUGUACAUGGGUCCCAGAAGGAGGCAGACACCAAGAGCAACAGAUGAGAAAAGCAAUGGGGAGCCUAAAGAGCAAGUGAGGAGGGAAGGGAAGCCACAAACUACUGCAGCCUGGCUGAGGAGCACUGCAUGACUGCUUAGAGCCCUGGAUUGAGUGAAUGUGAGUUCAGCCAAUAUAGCCAACAUUUCAGAAUUGUUGGGGUGUGGGGGAAAGCAACCUGGUUUGGAGAUGGAUUUAAAUGUUUGCAGUCUGUGUCCUCUGUCAGCUGGGUCUGUUGGGACCCAUGUGCCUUCAGUACAAGACAUGACUGAUUGCCCAGCAGUGCAAGAAAUUGAGCUGGCCAAGCCUGGUUAUCAGCCAGUUUUGACUCUGUUGAUUUCUGUCAUGUUAAUUUUUCUGGUUGUUGGCCGGUGCCACACAGCAUUAUUGGACCCCUUUUGCAAAGCUAUUCUCCUCUGGCUGCUGUGAGCCAAUCACACCAGCAAAGGAAAUCAGACUGUUUGCCAUGACGUAUUUCUGACAGUGUUUGUUGCAGCUCCUCCAGAAAGGCAGAUGUGGACACACUCAUUAAAUAAUCAAAUGUAUUGUAUUGCAGAAUUAAUUAGCUGCCUGUGCCUUUUUUGCAGGAUGGGCAAAAGGCCUUUUUAGCAUCUCUGCAGAAUAAUACUCUCCUGCCUCAGCUUGCUUGUGUUUCACAACCUGUGAAUUGCCUUUGUUCCUCCAAUCUUUCCAGGUAACCCCUCUAUGCCCAGACCAGUAGGUGUACCUCAACAUUUUACCUUAGGCAAUCUCUUCUUGCUUUUUCCUAUCAUCCUGCUUAGCAGGAAGCAGUGUCUGCCAUUCUGGCCUCCCUGAGCCACUGAGCAUUGUUCUUUUGCUCUGUUUGGCUUCUCCUGCUUGUUUUAACAUGGCCUUCUUAUUCCCUGACUGAAUGAGGCUCUUUGGUGUGAGGACUCACUCACCUUCCUGCUGCCAUCAGUGGAUCUGUAGGUCAUGAUGUAAUUCUCAAUCUCUCCCACGGGAGGAACCCAGGAUAGCAGGGCACUCCGUCGUGUGACUUCACUGGCUGUCAGAUUUGUUGGAGGAUCCAAAACUGGAAGAGUGGAUAGGGACACAGGGAAGUGCAAUAAUUUCUCACACACAGCCACCUCAACCCUACUUCCCAACUCAGUACACUGGGAUUCAACCUUGCAGCACUGAGCUACAGCCCAAAGUCCAUCCUCACCCUCAGUUUCAAGACCUCAUCACCCAUCCCCAGGCUUGAACAGAGCUCUGCAAACCCUCUAGAAGUCCUCCUCUACCUGUGUGCCACCUUAAGGGUAAAAUUCAUGUGCUAUGGGACCUGUCAAGCAAAAUGAGUUGUGUUCUUCUGGACUUGGGCAAAAAAAAGACCUGGUCAGGGGUCUGCUCAGGAAACCACAGCCAGGGGAAAUCACCAAAAGAAAGGGAUGGAUGGAUGGAUGUUGAAAGAGUGAAAAUAAUGGUUGAUGUUUGUUGAUUAAAAUUGUGUUCUUGCGUUGUGCCCUGCACUGGUAUUUGGGAUUGGUGUUUGUGUCCUUUUGGCUCAUGGCUACCUCUACACCCACAAGAGCUUUGGCUCAGCCUUGCUGGCUGCUUUUCCUGGGGUGAGUGCAUGGCUAGGGAUGAGGGGUGAGGGAAGGGAUUGUACGUACGAGUAGUGAAGUUGGUGCUGAUGGUCUGGCUGGUGAGAGGCCCGCUGGUGGCAUACAUAGACACUGUGUAGGUGGUACUGGGCAGCAGGUUGGUCAGCUGGUACUCCUGGCUGUCUCCAUCCACGAGAAUUGUUUCUCCUGCAACUGUAGGCAAAAAGGGAUGAGUUAGGGUAGAUAUUGAAAAUGUGUCUCUGGAUAUGACCUCAUGACAAAAAGCAUUUCUAUUGCUGAAGCACCAUAAGGUACUGUGCAGCAGCUGAGCUGUAGUGGUGCUGUUCAGUCUGAAGGGUGGUCUGAUUUUUCCCACAAUCCCUAUAAAACCCAAGGCAAGGGCUCCUUCCCUUUUCCCCCAGUGAAGGGCUCCCACUGAGCCCUGGGCUUUGGGAUGGGAGAGAGGUUGAGGUGAGCUGAAGCAGAGCCCUGGUGUACCUGCAUGACGGGUGAGGAUGAGGACGUAGCUUUCCACCUCCGACAGCGGCGGGUUCCACUGCAGCAGUGCCUCGGUGGGAGUGAUGUUGGUGGCUGUGACCCCCAGGGGGACAUCCAUGGCUGCAUGGGGGAAGAGAUCCAGAGAGUCAGAGGCAUUAGGAGACUGGACUAUGAGCUGGAAGGGCUUCUUGUGGCAUACUGCUCUAUGCCCUGCCCUGCUGCCCAGACACAUGUGCCUGCACAGGAGUUAGUGCUGCCCAAGCUGGAGUGCAAAGAGGUCAUUGUUUGUGUUACUCUGCUACCUGGGCUGCUCUUCCACUCUUUUCUAGAUGCCCAGUCUGGCUUGUUAGGGAUUUUCUUUAGGCUUUGAGGAGCCUGGCGAUAGCAGAAGGUUUUAUGCUUGCAGCAGAUGCUGCUUGUGACAGGGCUUCCCUAGGGAUUAUUUCUGGAAAUCUGUACUCUGUUCAGGAAAGGUUGUCAUGAUUGCCCAGCAGCAUGUUUCUGGCUUCGUGGUGCCUGGUACACAGGUUUAUUACUUUUACCCAUGACUUCCCAUGCAUACUUGGGAUAAACUUUGCUGAGACAUACUUCAAAAGUCCACACUGAGCCCUUCUGAGCCCUGCUUAUCAUCUCCAGCUUGCAUCCGGCUGGUGUGAGGUCCAGUUUGCUCUCAGUCACCUGGGUAUUAGUGCAAGCAGGAACUGCCAGCCCUGGGCAGGGCUGGAGCUGACACUGUUUGGUUGUUCCCUGCCCACCAAGAGCUCCUUCCCACCUGUGUAUGCAGUGAUGGAGGCCAGCUCACUCUCCUCCCGGCCCCGCACGCUCUUCAGCUCAAUCUCAUACUUGGUGGCAGGCUGCAGGUCCUGGAGAGUGUACUCAGUGGCAUCCCUGGAGAUGGCCAUGCUGUCUGUCCUUCCUGCAGAGAUGGAGCCAAGAGCUUAGACAUCAUAGCUGGCCCCAUCCCUGGGGCUCAGGAGGAGCUUGGGUGGGGAGGGCAGUUCCACAGGGCACUGGAGGUAUAAGUGGGUUUUGUGCCUGCAGGUGCACUCCUGUGAGCCCAUCACUCUGCUGGCCUGGCCUUUCCAGCAUCAUUGACAAAGCUAGGGCCAAGGGAGAUGAGGGAGGCAAAGCAGAUGAGAGAGCUGGGAUUUCAGGACUGAGCCCUGAAUCUAACCAUCUCUGGGGAGGGCACACUGCUGGGGGCGAUUCUAUGUGCCCCUCUGUGCCGAGCUGGCUGCAGUGGUCCCUUUCCAUCCUCAUGCCAUCACCCCAUCCUCUGCCCUGGAGCCAAUCCCAGUUAUUGGUCGCUUUGCCCAAGGCACUGAGAUGCUGCCUGGGUGAGGAUGACCUAGUGGCUUGCCUGGGCCAGCGGAUGGAGGGAGGGCUGGCAGCUGUGAGCUCAGGGCAUGAACAGGAGUGGUCUGGCCCCUUACCUUCGGCAGCACGGUAGGAUAUCCUGUAGUGGUCAAAGGCAGCCAUGGGAGCGCUCCAGUAGACCAUCAUGGACUCCUGGGUGACGUUGCCCACCCUGAGGUCCUUUGGUGCAUCAAUCCCUGGUGAGAUGGAGCACAAAGAAAAGCUGUGGGAGGCAGGCCCACUCCCCAUGCCCCUGCCUGCCCUCCCCGGUGCUGUCCCAUGCCUGCUGGGGGGUGUCCCGUGGUACCUGUUGUGAUGGAGCCCACGACAGGCUCAGAGCUGAUGGUGCCGUGCACGGCCACCAGUGACACCAGGUACUCGGUGGAUGGCUGCAAGCCCGUCAGGCUGAUGUGCCUGCGGGUGCCAUCGAGUGUGACCUGCUGGGCCUCCUCCUCCUUAUCCCGGGGGCUGUAGGUGAGGAUGAGGCGGUCUGCUGGUGGAGAUGGGUCACUCCAUGUGACAUUCACACUGGAGGAUGUCAGCUGGGAGAAGUGGAGCUGUGAGAUGGGCCGGACACCUGGAAGAUGGAGAGGAGAGAUGCAACCCCAACCAUCUGCAGAUUUUUUCCAGUGCUUGAAUGGGAAAUACUUAAAAGAGGUGGCAAAGCUGAAGAUCUGGGCUCUCCAUUGAUCUGAAACUCUGCUGGGAUCAACCAGCAGAAACAGGAGGGGAAAAAUGGUGCUUUUUUCAGCUCCACCUGCAAACAUCCUCCAUCCCAGACCCAUAUGGUGGGUGAUGGAACUGUCCCACUGCAGAUGGCGUAUGUUGUCUGCACUUCAUGACUGAAGACUUUUCAGCCAGAGGUCCUUGUGAGGUCCUCCAAGGCUUCAUUUCUUCUUCUUAUGGGCACACAGGCCACCCUGCCCACAGAGGACAGCACAGCAAGUGUGUUCAGUGCUGCUGUCCAAAGGGAUUGUGCCACCACAUUGGUAGGGGCCAUCCUCAUUUUGAGGUCAGCUGCUCCUGUGUGGACACAUUGACCCUGAUUCUCAUACCCAUCACCACCAGGGUUUUGGUGCCAGGGAUGCAGUGGGCUGGCAGAGGUGCCAACAAGGUCUGUGCCCUUGCCCCCAUCCCUUGUGUUUCUCUACCUGUGAAGGCAUCCACGCUGGCCUCCAGGCUCUGCUGCCGUCCCCUCUCAGCGAUGAUGGAGAUGGUGUACUCUGUCCCGGGCUCCAGCUCCGAGAGGGUGAGCUGUGACUCGUCCCUGGACACUGUCACUUCAGAGGCCAUGCCCGAGGCAGGGGUGAAGGUGAUGCGGUAGUGGUCGAUGGGACCCGUGGCUUUGGUCCAAGCCAGUGAGAUGGACGUCUCAGUGGAGGCUGUCACCAGCAGGUCCCGGGGGCUGUCAAGCUCUGUGGGAGAGGGUUGGUGCAGAGCUUUGUCCCCAUGCACUGACUGUCCCAUGGGGGCAUCUGAGCCAUAGCAGCCAGCUGUGCUUGGAGCAGGCAGUGGGGCCAAACUCACCAGUCCUGGCAUUCAUGGUUGCUGGCACACUCUGCUGGCUGUCCAUCACGGCUGAAAUCCCAAUGCCAUACUCUGUUCCCGGCACCAGAUCUACCAGGGAGGGCAAAGAACAUGACAGGGUGACCUCAGGGUCUGUGUGACCUCUUCUUCCACCUCCCACAAGUGGGGGUACAGGAGGACCCUCCAGGGCAUCCCUCAGGUCAGCAGUUCCUCUGCACGUUGCAGAAGAGCUGAGUCUUUUCAAAAAGCCCUGUGGAUGCCGUUGGACAGGGAAUUUGGGUUAUUUUAGCCCAGAAACAAGCCAUUUUUAAAAGCUGUUGCUGAGGUCUGCUGCAAUUGCUGGCGGUGAGAUAGAAGCUCUUGUGUGUGUGAGCUGAGAUGGGAAUGAUAAAGUAGCUAUAUUUUUUUCCAAAGUGAUGCAGCAUCAAAUAUUGUCACAGGGCUGGUGUCUUGGAGAGGAAUAAACUAUGUAGAGUAAAUGAAAUGCACAUUAAUUGGGAAAGGUGCAGUCUUUCUGGGAGCUGAAUUAAGCCCUGUUCUUUAGGGUAGAAAUAUCCUGAGUUGCUUCUCUCAAGGAACUUGGGAAUUGAACUCAUCCAGCUCCGUUCCUCUUGCACUGCUUUAUUUCCAUGGAAUAUCUCUUGCCUCAGCCUGUCACUUCUGCUUGGCUGCUGGUGGCUUUAUUCCCCUCUUCCCUGUUCUUCAUGAUCCUUCAUACAAAGUUAGAAAAAGCAAUAAACUCUCCAGCUCAGCCUCACUGUGCCUCACCCAGGGACAGCACCAAAACCUUUCCCAAGAGGUCAGGAGGGAGAGACACUCUCCUCCCCUGCUUUUCUCUUGCUACAGUGCAGUCUUGAUGAUGGGGAGAAGUUGGACCUGCUCACCAAGUGUCAGAAGUAUUCUGGGAAGAAGAGUCUGGCAGAAGGUAGGAGAAGGAAGAAAUGAGCAGGAGGAUAUAAACCUUUUCUCUCCCAGCUCUUUUGGGAUGAGCAUAUUUAUGGUUAUUUCUGUGCAAAUGCUGAUUUUUAAUAGAGACUACGGGUCAGGGCCAGGCUUGCUGCCCUUUAAAGUGUAAAUCUUUGAUAAACUCUGCUCAGUGCCAUUCCACACUGCUUUUCCUGCAGGUAGAUGAGACUGGCUGAGAGAAUUGCUGGUUACUUUCAUACCAUGGAUCCCAUCAGGUUCUGGGUGACUGGAAAAACACCCCAAUGGAUUUUGCACAAAGUCCAACAAGACUGGAGGAUAUGACUACUCUGUACAAAAAGAGCUUUGGAAGAGGCUCAUGUGCCAUCCACAUUAUGACUUUUUUUGCUAGCAGAAUGGCUUUUUCAUUAUUUUCUGCUAUGACUAGAUUGGUUUGUUUUGUUUUUAUAAUUGGUUUGUUUAUGACACCGUACACUGGGGAAUGGAAGCAAUGCACUUGUGUGAUGAUGGAGGUAUUAUAUAAAAAAUAACUCUGUACAACUGACUUAAGAAUCUGCAUCUCUGCAGCUUGCUCUGGUUGGGUUUCUUGCAGCCUUACCUGAGACUGGAAGAGCCUUGGCAGCUUUUUUAGUUUUAUUGAGAAAAACAAGGGACUUUAGGCUCUUGCCAUAUAUUCCAAGGCAAGCUCAAGCCAUGGAUAUUGUCUGUGUGUGUCACUGUUGUGCCUCUGCCCAGGAAGGGGGAUUUGGCCCAUUUUUAAUGCUUCUUCUCACCUAGAAAGCCAAUAUAUGUCCUAAAGGAAAGCUAGCAGGAGUCCAGCACCGAGGCUCUGAUCUCAUCCUACUUCUCCCCACGCAUCCUCAUCAAGAACACAGAAGAAACCAGCCCUGAUGGUUUUCUUCUUUCUACAUUCCACAUUUUUCAAGAUUCCUGAGCCCUUGAAGGUCCCGGGAAGGCAGAGAGGCAACAUGGAAGAACCUGUUGUCCUUCCAGACUGAAGAACUUCAAGAUGAAUGAGAGGACAUUUUUGCAUAUAAUUCUUUUCUUUGCUCAAAAUAUGCCACUGGAGCAGCAAAUCCACGAGGUGUUGACAAUGUGUUAAAUAACAUGCGGCCAAAGACAAGAUCCAAGUGUGGAGAACUGAGGAAUGUCUCUAGAAAUGUUCCUGCUUUGGUGCCAGCUCCUGGUUUGUCCUUAAACUGAGGAAUAAAAGCUGUUGGUGUCUUGGCAAUGGGAAGAGAGGAGAAAAUGCAACUGCUCUGAAAUUUGGGCCCUUCCUUCCUCCACACCCCACAACACUCAGCCUUUGGACAUCCUGGGCUCAAGCCUGGCUGAUGGAUGCUUUGAGUCCAGCAGGACUUAACCGAUGGAUGGAUGGAUGGAUGGAGCCAAGCCUUGCCAUCACUCCUGUGCCAUGGCAGUGCUCAUGCAUGAAGCCUGCUGGGCAGCCUGUGUUAUCACUUAGAUGAUCACAAGGCUCAAGUUUCUGCUGCUAGAAGGUUUUUUAUGUAAAAAGUGAGCGAGCUUGAGCAUCCCCUCAGGAUCCAUGGGCAGCAAGCAACAAGGGCAGUAGGAUACUUACUGGUCAUCACCCUGGAGGUAACAGGGAUGCUGAAGACAUCACUGAUGACUGCAUAGAUGCUGACAUUGUAGGCAACACCUGGCUCCAGAUCCGUGAUGCUGAUGCUGCUCCAGUCCCCAGGCACCCUCUGCUGGAGCUGGGUGCCCCCUGGCACGGCGGGCUGGUAGGACACCAUGUACUCAGUCGCGGCCCCGGGGCUGUCCCAGGCCAGCUCGAUGGAGCUGUCGCUGAUCGCCGUCACCCGCAGGUUCUCAGGGGGAGACACUGGUGGGAAGGACAGAGGUAUGGAGAGUGUCAGGGUGUGUGUGGCUGAUUCUUCCACUCCUGUGGGAGGCUGUGUAGGUCUGCUGGUGGGCCACAGGCACGGGCUGGGUGUUAUGGGCUAGCUGUGGUUAUCUGAACAGCUAAAACAAGGUAAAGGCUCAGGAGAACCCGAUGCACUAAGGGUUUAGCCCCCAUGUUAGGAUGUGUUGGCAUUAUAAAAUUAGAGAGUUUGGGGAAAAUUGUAAAAGAUAGGUUUUAGAGAUAGUAGAAUUGUGAUUAGAGUCAAGCAGUAGCUAUAAAAUUGGUUAGUGGAAAAAUUAGGUAAGAAGUAGAAAAGUAAGGAUAAAUAGAACAAUGGUUUGUAUGUUAAUGUUUGUUUAGAAUAAUUUUUAAGUUGUAGGAAAGUAUAUUUAGUAAGAUAACAGGAAGUUUUAGGCUUAAUAAUGGAGUUUCAUGUAUUGUGUUUUAAGGCUUACAAGCAGGUAUUAUAUUCUAAAAAACCAAGCACUGUUUUAACCAAAGGUACGUGUGCUUACAGUGGCUGGAUAGAACUACUGUCAAUAUGCUUUUGCUUUGUGUGGUUGGUCAAAAAACUUUUAAAGUAAGCUGUAACAUUAAGUUCUUUGUCUGCUGCCUGGGAUGUGAGCUGAUGGCAUCUUCCCAUUGUCAUAACCAUACAUUGAGGCUGAUGCUGGAAAAUAAACCAGGUCAAGACACGUCCCUAGCAGUCUCAUCCCAUUCCUGAUUUGUACAUAGCCCCUGGCUGGCAAUAGGAUGAACCUCACCAGCUUUUUGCUCACCUCCCAGACUUUUGUCCAUGGUGUCUUUGGGGACAGGGAUAACGGGGGGGGGGGGGGGUUCAGUGUGUCCUAAGUGAUGCGGUCUGCAGGUAUGGAGCUGAUGCUGGAAAAUAAACCAGGUCAAGACACA